ACAAUAAGCAAAAUAAGGGCGUAUGGGGGAUGCCUAGGCUCUCAGAGGCGAAGAAGGACGUGAUAAGCUGCGAAAAGCUGCGGGGAUUGGCACAUACGAAUUGAUCCGCAGAUAUCCCAAUGGGGCAACCCACUAUGUUGAAGACAUAGUAUCCAAUAGGAGGCGAACCCGCUGAACUGAAACAUCUAAGUAGGCGGAGGAGAAGAAAACAAAAGUGAUUGCGUAAGUAGUGGCGAGCGAAAGCGCAUUAGCCCAAACCAGUGUUGUUACGGCAAUACUGGGGUUGUAGGACCACAAUAUUUCUUGUAAACCGAAUUAGAAUAACCUGGAAAGGUUAACCACAGAGGGUGAUAGUCCCGUAUAAGUAAGGAAUAUAAAGGAUAGUGGUAUCCUGAGUAGGGCGGGGCACGUGAAACCCUGUCUGAAUCUGGCGGGACCAUCCGCUAAGGCUAAAUACUCCUGAGAGACCGAUAGUGAACCAGUACUGUGAAGGAAAGGUGAAAAGAACCGUGAAUAACGGAGUGAAAUAGAACCUGAAACCAUACGCCUACAAGCGGUCGGAGCAGCAAAAGCUGUGACGGCGUGCCUUUUGCAUAAUGAGCCUACGAGUUAACGUUGCUGGCAAGGUUAAGCACUUCAGGUGCGGAUCCGUAGCGAAAGCGAGUCUGAAUAGGGCGCUUGAGUCAGUAAUGUUAGACGCGAAACCGUGUGAUCUACCCAUGGGCAGGAUGAAGCUGUGGUAACACAUAGUGGAGGUCCGAACCGGUUGACGUUGAAAAGUCUUCGGAUGACCUGUGGGUCUGUCUCUUAUACAMAUCUGACGCUGCAAUAGCUCGUACUCCCCGAAAUGCAUUUAGGUGCAGCGCAGUGGUAGAGUUAUAUAGAGGUAGAGCUACUGAUUGGAUGCGGGGGCUUCACCGCCUACCAAUUCCUGACAAACUCCGAAUGCUAUAUAAUAUACACAGCAGUGAGGGCUGGGGUGCUAAGGUCCCAGUCCGAGAGGGAAAGAACCCAGACCAUCAGCUAAGGUCCCCAAAUGUAUACUAAGUUGAUCAAACGCGGUUUGAUUGCAUCGACAGCUAGGAUGUUGGCUUGGAAGCAGCCAUUCAUUUAAAGAGUGCGUAACAGCUCACUAGUCGAGCGAUCGAGCAUGGAUAAUAAUCGGGCAUAAGUAUACUACCGAAGCUAUGGAUUUGACAAAAGUCAAGUGGUAGGGGAGCAUUCUAACAUCGUAGAAGGGAUUCCGUGAGGAUUUCUGGAGAGGUUAGAAAAGAAAAUGUAGGCAUAAGUAACGAUAAGGGGUGCGAGAAACACCCCCGCCGUAAAACUAAGGUUUCCGCAGCUAUGCUAAUCAGCUGCGGUUUAGACGGGACCUAAGGCGAAUCCGAAAGGAACAGUCGGCGUGUCUCGUGGGCUCGGAGAUGUGUAUAAGAGNNASRRUGAUGGGAUAGUGUACCUAAAGGCUGCCAAGAAAACCUUCUAAACAUAGAUUAUAAGUACCCGUACCGUAAACCGACACAGGUAGUUGAGGAGAGUAUCCUAAGGCGCUCGAGAGAUUCAUGGCUAAGGAAUUAGGCAAAAUAGACCUGUKAYACACAUSUMYRAGSYCRCGAGCGCAAGCUGGCCGCAGUGAAAAGGUCCAGGCGACUGUUUAUCAAAAACACAGGGCUCUGCCAAAUCGUAAGAUGAAGUAUAGGGCCUGACACGUGCUGGAAGGUUAAGAGGAGAUGUUAUGAGCAAUCAGAAGCAUUGAAUUGAAGCCCCAGUAAACGGCGGCCGUAACUAUAACGGUCCUAAGGUAGCGAAAUUCCUUGUCGGGUAAGUUCCGACCUGCACGAAUGGUGUAACGAUCUGGACACUGUCUCAGCCAUGAGCUCGGUGAAAUUGUAGUAUCGGUGAAGAUGCCGAUUACCCGCAGUGGGACGAAAAGACCCUGUGCACCUUUACUAUAGCUUAGUAUUGACCUUGGAUAAGUGAUGUGUAGGAUAGGUGGGAGACUGUGAAAUGGCGUCGCUAGGCGUUGUGGAGUCAUUGUUGAAAUACCACCCUUUGCUUAUCUGAGGCCUAACUCCAUAUUGUGGAGGACAUUGCUUGGUGGGUAGUUUGACUGGGGUGGUCGCCUCCAAAAGAGUAACGGAGGCUUCUAAAGGUUCCCUCAGCACGCUUGGUAACCGUGCGUAGAGUGCAAUGGCAUAAGGGAGCUUGACUGAGAGACAUACAGGUCGAUCAGGUACGAAAGUAGAGCAUAGUGAUCCGGUGGUUCCGCAUGGAAGGGCCAUCGCUCAAAGGAUAAAAGGUACGCCGGGGAUAACAGGCUGAUCUCCCCCAAGAGCUCAUAUCGACGGGGGGGUUUGGCACCUCGAUGUCGGCUCGUCACAUCCUGGGGCUGGAGAAGGUCCCAAGGGUUGGGCUGUUCGCCCAUUAAAGUGGCACGCGAGCUGGGUUCAGAACGUCGUGAGACAGUUCGGUCUCUAUCUACUGUGGGCGUUAGAAAUUUGAGUGGAUCUGACUCUAGUACGAGAGGACCGAGUUGGACCAACCGCUGGUGUAUCUGUUGUUCCGCCAGGAGCACCGCAGAGUAGCUACGUUGGGAAGGGAUAAGCGCUGAAAGCAUAUAAGCGCGAAACCCACCACAAGAUGAGAUUUCUUUUAAGGGUCGUGGAAGAUGACCACGUUGAUAGGCUAUAGAUGUAAAGGCAGUAAUGUCACAGUCAAGUAGUACUAAUAACCCGUAAGCUUAUUGUA
rnacentral:rRNA from 1 species